rnacentral:rRNA from 1 species
AGCGGCGGACGGGUGAGUAACGCGUGGGAACGUACCCUCUUCUGCGGGAUAGCCACUGGAAACGGUGAGUAAUACCGCAUACGCCCUUCGGGGGAAAGAUUUAUCGGAGGAGGAUCGGCCCGCGUUGGAUUAGGUAGUUGGUGGGGUAAUGGCCUACCAAGCCUACGAUCCAUAGCUGGUUUUAGAGGAUGAUCAGCCACACUGGGACUGAGACACGGCCCAGACUCCUACGGGAGGCAGCAGUGGGGAAUCUUAGACAAUGGGCGCAAGCCUGAUCUAGCCAUGCCGCGUGAGUGACGAAGGCCUUAGGGUCGUAAAGCUCUUUCGCCAGAGAUGAUAAUGACAGUAUCUGGUAAAGAAACCCCGGCUAACUCCGUGCCAGCAGCCGCGGUAAUACGGAGGGGGUUAGCGUUGUUCGGAAUUACUGGGCGUAAAGCGCACGUAGGCGGAUUGGAAAGUUGGGGGUGAAAUCCCAGGGCUCAACCCUGGAACGGCCUCCAAAACUCCCAGUCUGGAGUUCGAGAGAGGUGAGUGGAAUUCCGAGUGUAGAGGUGAAAUUCGUAGAUAUUCGGAGGAACACCAGUGGCGAAGGCGGCUCACUGGCUCGAUACUGACGCUGAGGUGCGAAAGUGUGGGGAGCAAACAGGAUUAGAUACCCUGGUAGUCCACACCGUAAACGAUGAAUGCCAGUCGUCGGCAA